GACGAACGCUGGCGGCGUGCUUAACACAUGCAAGUCGAACGGUGAAGCGCCUUCCUUUUUGGUGGGUGUGGAUGAGUGGCGAACGGGUGAGUAACACGUGAGUAACCUGCCCCCUUCUUCUGGAUAACCGCAUGAAAGUGUGGCUAAUACGGGAUAUUCUGGGUCUGUCGCAUGAUGGGUCUGGGAAAGAUAUUGUUUCGGUGGGGGCUGGGCUCGCGGCCUAUGAGCUUGUUGGUGGGGUGAUGGCCUACCAAGGCGGUGACGGGUAGCCGGGCUGAGAGGGUGGACGGUCACACGGGGACUGGGACACGGCCCAGACGCCUACGGGAGGCAGCAGUGAGGAAUAUUGCACGAUGGGCGCAAGCCUGAUGCAGCGACGCCGCGUGAGAGAUGGAGGCCUUCGGGUUGUGAACCUCUUUCGCCAGUGAAGCAGGCCUGCCUCGUUUGUGGGUGGGUUGACGGUAGCUGGAUAAGAAGCGCCGGCUAACUACGUG
rnacentral:rRNA from 1 species